GACGAACGCUGGCGGCGUGCCUAAUACAUGCAAGUUGAGCGCUGAAGGCUGGUACUUGUACCAACUGGAUGAGCAGCGAACGGGUGAGUAACGCGUGGGGAAUCUGCCUUUGAGCGGGGGAUACCAUUUGCAAACGAAUGCUACUACCCCAUAAAAACUUUACACACAAGUUUCAAGCUUGAAAGAUGCUAUUGCAUCACUUAAAGAUGAUCCCGCGUUGUAUUAGCUAGUUGGUGAGGUAAAGGCUCACCAAGGCGAUGAUACAUAGCCGACCUGAGAGGGUGAUCGGCCACAUUGGGACUGGGACACGGCCCAAACUCCUACGGGAGGCAGCAGUAGGGAAUCUUCGGCAAUGGACGAAAGUCUGACCGAGCAACGCCGCGUGAGUGAAGAAGGUUUUCGGAUCGUAAAACUCUGUUGGUAGAGAAGAACGUUGGUGAGAGUGGAAAGCUCAUCAAGUGACGGUAACUACCCAGAAAGGGACGGCUAACUACGUG
rnacentral:rRNA from 1 species